rnacentral:rRNA from 1 species
AGGGUUCGAUUCUGGCUCAGGAUGAACGCUAGCUACAGGCUUAACACAUGCAAGUCGAGGGGCAGCAUGAAGUUUGCUUGCAACUUGAUGGCGACCGGCGCACGGGUGAGUAACGCGUAUCCAACCUUCCCUAUAGUAGAGAAUAGCCCGGCGAAAGUCGGAUUAAUGCUCUAUGUUGUAUUUUUGCGGACAUCUAACGAAUACCAAAGGUUUACCGCUAUAGGAUGGGGAUGCGUCUGAUUAGGUUGUCGGCGGGGUAACGGCCCACCAAGCCGUCGAUCAGUAGGGGUUCUGAGAGGAAGGUCCCCCACAUUGGAACUGAGACACGGUCCAAACUCCUACGGGAGGCAGCAGUGAGGAAUAUUGGUCAAUGGACGGAAGUCUGAACCAGCCAAGUAAGCGUGCAGGAUGACGGCCCUAUGGGUUGUAAACUGCUUUUAUCAGGGGAUAAAGUCGGGGACGUGUCCCCGUUUGUAGGUACCUGAUGAAUAAGGACCGGCUAAUUCCGUGCCAGCCGCAGC